UACGGGGGGAGCAAGCGUUGUUCGGAAUUACUGGGCGUAAAGCGCGCGUAGGCGGCUCUUCAAGUCAGACGUGAAAGCCCCGGGCUUAACUCGGGAACUGCGUUUGAUACUGUCGGGCUAGAGUGUGGAAGGGGCGAUUGGAAUUCCGUGUGUAGCGGUGAAAUGCGUAGAUAUACGGAGGAACACCAGGGGCGAAGGCGGAUCGCUGGGCCAACACUGACGCUGAUGUGCGAAAGCUAGGGGAGCAAACGGG
rnacentral:rRNA from 1 species